rnacentral:lncRNA from 1 species
AAGAAGCAGUGUGGACAACUCUAAAGGACACUGGAAGGGAAGAGGAAGGAAGUACAUUGGUUCUUCAGGAGGCGGGGGAUGCAAUGGACAGGAGAAGUAGCAGUGACAUGGUACCGUCUUGACUCUUGCAAACAAAAUCUACCCUGGUUACCACAAAUGCUUUUCUCCAUGCCUUUGCUUUUGAAAGUAUUAGCUACAAGGAUGAGUCUGGGAUCCCAAGUGGACACUGUGGUGAAAAGCAUGGCUGCUUCUGGAAAGAACUCAGAUGAAGAGAAGGAGGGAUAUGUUGCCAUGGAGCUGCUGAUGAGUCACUGAGUCAUGGCUUGCUUUGCUCAAGUGACUGUGGUUUUUAUAACACUGAUACUCAAAUCAGACACCCGUGGAUUCUACUUUUAAAAACUUCAAGGUACAUUCCACGGGACUGAACAGAUUCAUGACAAAAGAACAUUCUAUUUGGUCAAAUUUGAAUUUCAAGAGAUGGCCAACUUUUAAUGAGAAGGCAUUACGGUUUUGUUUCCCUUUUCUUUAUGUGACUCAGUGAUAUUUCUCUUUGGCUGGAACUGUUUUCUCUAAGCACACGCUGUUUUCCUGUCCAUGUCACCAGUAGCUCAAACUUCCUGAUGUCAUGUCCCAUCUUUACCCAAAGGGUGUCCUUUUGAAGACCUCAGGCCAUGUGGAAGAAAAAUAAUCAGCGCCAAGUUCAGAAGACAAAUGUUGCAAGGGGGAUUUUUUUUCCCUCUCCUCUUGGUUAUUCUUAAACAUGUGUAGUUUUAGAGAUCAGUAUGUCAGUGUUUUGAAAGAAGCAAAGACUUGAAUUUAUUUUGGUGCAGCUAUCAGAUUUUGAGGAGCUGGAUCAUUUGUUUUCCUCUUGUGAGGUCCAGAUCCUUCCCUUUAACAAAUGGAGCUCCCCUGAUUCGUUCCCAAGGAGUAAAAGCAGGUCAUGUGGUGUCUCCUUAACCAAGAUGACAGGCAGCCUAGAGAGGAGGCCAUUCCUGGAGCAUCUAGGGGACCCAGCACAAGGAAGGCAUGCAGGAGGGCCAUCCACUUAGCAGGCCCAUCCUAACUCAGAGUACCUCAUCACAAAUUGGAUUGCAGAGAACUCAAAUGAAGAGGACAAGCAAACUCAGGAAUGUGGAGCACCCAUCAUCUGCCAUGGUCAAGGAGAUAAUCUGUGGAGAGAGAGAGAAAACAGAUGGAGAGAGCUGCACAC